rnacentral:rRNA from 1 species
GCAUAUCAAUAAGCGGAGGAAAAGAAACCAACAGGGAUUGCCCUAGUAACGGCGAGUGAAGCGGCAACAGCUCAAAUUUGAAAUCUGGCGUCUUCGGCGUCCGAGUUGUAAUUUGCAGAGGGCGCUUUGGCAUUGGCAGCGGUCCAAGUUCCUUGGAACAGGACGUCACAGAGGGUGAGAAUCCCGUACGUGGUCGCUAGCCUUUACCGUGUAAAGCCCCUUCGACGAGUCGAGUUGUUUGGGAAUGCAGCUCUAAAUGGGAGGUAAAUUUCUUCUAAAGCUAAAUACUGGCCAGAGACCGAUAGCGCACAAGUAGAGUGAUCGAAAGAUGAAAAGCACUUUGGAAAGAGAGUUAAAAAGCACGUGAAAUUGUUGAAAGGGAAGCGCUUGCAGCCAGACUUGCCUGUAGUUGCUCAUCCGGGUUUCUACCCGGUGCACUCUUCUAUGGGCAGGCCAGCAUCAGUUUGGGCGGUUGGAUAAAGGUCUCUGUCAUGUACCUCUCUUCGGGGAGAACUUAUAGGGGAGACGUCAUGCAACCAGCCUGGACUGAGGUCCGCGCAUCUGCUAGGAUGCUGGCGUAAUGGCUGUAAGCGGCCCGUCUUGAAACACGGACCAAGGAGUCUAACAUCUAUGCGAGUGUUUGGGUGUCAAGCCCGAGCGCGUAAUGAAAGUGAACGGAGGUGGGAACCUUUCGGGGUGCACCAUCGACCGAUCCUGAUGUCUUCGGAUGGAUUUGAGUAAGAGCAUAGCUGUUGGGACCCGAAAGAUGGUGAACUAUGCUUGAAUAGGGUGAAGCCAGAGGAAACUCUGGUGGAGGCUCGCAGCGGUUCUGACGUGCAAAUCGAUCGUCAAAUUUGGGCAUAGGGGCGAAAGACUAAUCGAACUAUCUAGUAGCUGGUUCCUGCCGA